ensembl:lncRNA
GUUUAGAAAGAUAGUCAUUGUAUUUUACCCACCAUAAUGUGACCAUCAGAAAUGCAUAUCACAUCUCUCACAUAUUCAUCUAUUUGUUGUUAAACAGUUCUUGCAGUUUUACUCCACCACAGGAUCAGAGACGGUCCCCUGAAGAGAGGAGAAAGAGAGAGAAGACAUUCCUACUGAAUCUGUGUCUUCAAGCAGCUCUCCAUGAGAGAGGAACCAUACAAACAAUUGUAGAGAAAGUGUUGUCACUGUCUAAAGUAUAUCACAAUCAGAAUUGGGAUUUCCUGCUGGAUCUGAGCUCAUAUGUGGUGGACUAUGAGACUCAAACAGGCAGGAGUGUCCUUCCAGCAUUACAACCAGUUUACCAGUCAGCUCCUGCAGUCUGGUCCAUAGACCUCUCAGAGAGAAAGGCCUCCCUCCUCCUAGAAGUGCUGAAACUCCAACCAGAGAAGAAACCAGUAGAGCUGAAGGGCUGGUCAGAUGAAGAGAGUGAACUAAGGAGUUUCCUUCAGUGUCUGCCCUACAUCUCACAGCUGAGGUGAGUGAGUUUAUCCAACAAGAGUCCAUAUGUCAUUGAACUGGUGUAGAUUGUAUUUAUGUUUUACACUGUCUUUAUCUUUUUAAUACAUGCACAUAUGAAGAUGCUUUAGAAACUCUAAUUCAGUAGGAAUUUAAAUUGAACAAAAUUCUAAUUCAUAGUUGUAUUGUUUUAAUAGAUGGAGUCAUAAGGUGCUAUUAGUUUUCAGUUCCCCUACCCUGUUAUUCAUAUCAGCCCUCAUCACUCACCUGUAUGUCAUCUGUGUUUUAAACUGUUUGUUCAGAUUUCUUCCACUGAUGGACAAUAUAGAGAGGAGAAAGAGAGAGAAGACAUUCCUAUUGAAUCUGUUUCUUCAAACAAUUCUCCAUGCUAGAGGAUCCAUACAUACAAUUAUAGAUAAAGUGUUGUCACUGUCUGAAGUAUAUGACUAUGAGAAAUGGGAUUUCCUGCUGGAUCUGUACUCACAUGUGAAGGACUAUGAGACUCAAACAGGCAGGAGUGUCCUUCCAGCAUUACAGCCAGUUUACCAGUCAGCUCCUGCAGUCUGGUCCAUAGACCUCUCAGAGAGAAAGGCCUCCCUCCUCCUAGAAAUGCUUAAAAUCCAACCAGAGAAGAAACCAGUAGAGCUGAAGGGCUGGUCAGAUGAAGAGAGUGAAGUGAGGAGUUUCCUUCAGUGUCUGCCCUACAUCUCACAGCUGAGUUUCUAUCCAUGGUGGCCUGUUCCCUCAAAGCAGAUCAAGUUCCUGGUGGAUCUCCUGUCUCAAGCAGCAGAGAGGGAGGAGCAGACAGGAGAGAAGACACUGAUGCUGGUGUCAUCAGUGUGUACUUACAGCGCUUUCCCCUUCUGUGACUGGCAUGAUGAGAAUAAGGAAGAUCAAUGUGAUUUCCUGCUGGAUCUGUUCUCACAUAUGAAGGAAUAUCAGACUCAAACAGACAGGAACGUCCUUCUAGCAUUACAGCCAGUUUACCAGUCGGCUCCUGCAGUCUGGUACAUAGACCUCUCAGCGAGAAAGGCCUCCCUCUUCCUAGAAGUGCUGAAACUCCAACCAGAGAAGAAACCAGUAGAGCUGAAGGGCUGGUCAGAUGAAGAGAGUGAAGUGAGGAGUUUCCUUCAGUGUCUGUCCUACAUCUCACAGCUGAGUUUCCCUCCAUGGUGGUCUGAUCCCUCAAAGCAGAUCAAGUUCCUGGUGGAUCUCCUGUCUCAAGCAGCAGAGUGGGAGGAGCAGACAGGAGAGAAGACACUGAAGCUGGUAUCAUCAGUGUGUACUUACAGCACCUUUCCUUUUCCCAAUGGAUACAUUUCUAAACAGAGUGAUUUCCUGCUAGAUCUGUACUCACAUGUGAAGGACUAUGAGACUCAAACAGGCAGGAGUUUCCUUCCAGCAUUACAGCCAGUUUAUCAGUCAGCUCCUGCAGUCUGGUCCAUAGGGCUCUCAGAGAGAAAGACCUCCCACCUCCUAGAAGUGCUGAAGCUCCAACCAGAGAAGAAACCAGUAGAGCUGAAGGGCUGGUCAGAUGAAGAGCGUGAAGUGAGGAGUUUCCUUCAGUGUCUGUCCUACAUCUCACAGCUGAGAUUUCCUCCACUGAAGGAUAAUGUAGAGAGGAUAAAGAGAGAGAAGACAUUCCUACUGAAUCUGUGUCUUCAAGCAGCUCUUCAUGAGAGAGGAACCAUACAAACAACUGUAGAGAAAGUGUUGUCACUGUCUGAAGUAUAUCACAAUCAGAAAUGGGAUUUCCUGCUGUAUCUGUACUCACAUGUGAAGGACUAUGAGACUCAAACAGGCAGGAGUGUCCUUCCAGCAUUACAGCCAGUUUACCAGUCAGCCAGUCCUGCAGUCUGGUCCAUAGACCUCUCAAAGAGAAAGGCCUCCCUCGUCCUAGAAGUGCUGAAACUCCAACCAGAGAAGAAACCAGUACAGCUGAUGGGCUGGUCAGAUGAAGAGAGUGAAGUGAGGAGUUUCCUUCAGUGUCUGCCCUAUAUCUCACAGCUGAGUUUUACUCCUCCAUGGGAUCAGAGAAGAUGCCCUGAAGAGAGGACACAGAGAGAGAAGACAUUCCUACUGAAUCUGUGUCUUCAAGCAGCUCUCCAUGAGAGAGGAACCAUACAAACAACUGUAGAGAAAGUGUUGUCACUGUCUGAAGUAUAUCACAAUCAGAAAUGUGAUUUCCUGCUGGAUCUGUGCUCACAUGUGAAUGACUACGAGACUCAAACAGGCAGGAGUGUUCUUCCAGCAUUACAGCCAGUUUACCAGUCAGCCAGUCCUGCAGUCUGGUCCAUAGACCUCUCAGAGAGAAAGGCCUCCCUCUUCCGAGAAGUGCUGAAACUCCAACCAGAGAAGAAACCAGUAGAGCUGAAGGGCUGGUCAGAUGAAGAGAGUGAAGUGAGGAGUUUCCUUCAGUGUCUGCCCUACAUCUCACAGCUGAGUUUCUAUCCAGAUUGGUAUGAUCCCUCAAAGCAGAUCAAGUUCCUGGUGGAUCUCCUAUCUCAAGCAGCAGAGUGGGAGGAGCAGACAGGAGAUAAGACACUGAAGCUGGUAUCAUCAGUGUGUACUUACAGCACUUUCCCCUUCUGUGAUGAUGACGAUGAUGAUGAUGAUGAUGAUGAUGAGGAAUAUCAAAGUGAUUUCCUGCUGGAUCUCUACCCACAUGUGAAGGACUAUGAGUGUCAAACAGGCAGGAGUGUCCUUCCAGCAUUGCAGCCAGUUUACCAGUCAGCCAGUCCUGCCGUCUGGUCCAUAGACCUGUCAGAGAGAAAGGCCUCCCUCCUCCUAGAAGUGCUAAAACUCCAACCAGAGAAGAAACCAGUAAAGCUGAAGGGCUGGUAUGAUGAAGAGAGUGAAGUGAGGAGUUUCCUUCAGUGUCUGCCCUACAUCUCACAGCUGAGGUGAGUUGGAUCAGUACAGUUCAGAGAUUGUAGUUGUCUGUCCCUGUAUUUCCCUUUAGAGAGGAAGUUUGUAGCUUCCUGCAGUUACUUAAUAUACUAAACAUACGCUACCGUUCAAAAGUUUGGGGUCACUCAGAAAUGUCCUUAUUUUACACAGGAAAGCAAUUUUUUUGGGACCAUUAUAAAAUAACAUCAAAUUGAUCAGAAAUACAGUGUAGACAUUGAUAAUGUUCUAAAUGACUACUGUAGUUGGAAACGGC